ACGAACGCUGGCGGCGUGCUUAACACCUGCAAGUCGCACGGAAAGGCCCUGCUUUUGUGGGGUGCUCGAGUGGCGAACGGGUGAGUAACACGUGAGUAACCUGCCCUUGACUUUGGGAUAACUUCAGGAAACUGGGGCUAAUACCGGAUAGGAGCUCCUGCUGCAUGGUGGGGGUUGGAAAGUUCGGCGGUUGGGGAUGGACUCGCGGCUUAUCAGCUUGUUGGUGGGGUAGUGGCUUACCAAGGCUUUGACGGGUAGCCGGCCUGAGAGGGUGACCGGCCACAUUGGGACUGAGAUACGGCCCAGACUCCUACGGGAGGCAGCAGUGGGGAAUAUUGCACAAUGGGCGGAAGCCUGAUGCAGCAACGCCGCGUGCGGGAUGACGGCCUUCGGGUUGUAAACCGCUUUCGCCUGUGACGAAGCGUGAGUGACGGUAAUGGGUAAAGAAGCACCGGCUAACUACGUG
rnacentral:rRNA from 1 species